rnacentral:tRNA from 1 species
GUAGGCAUAGUUUAACAAAAACACUAGAUUGUGAUUCUAGAGACAGAGGUUAAAACCCCCUUGCCCACC